rnacentral:rRNA from 1 species
UACGUAGGGUGCAAGCGUUGUCCGGAAUUAUUGGGCGUAAAGAGCUCGUAGGCGGUCUGUCGCGUCGGCUGUGAAAUCCCGAGGCUCAACCUCGGGUCUGCAGUCGAUACGGGCAAACUAGAGUAUUGCAGGGGAGACUGGAAUUCCUGGUGUAGCGGUGAAAUGCGCAGAUAUCAGGAGGAACACCGGUGGCGAAGGCGGGUCUCUGGGCAAUAACUGACGCUGAGGAGCGGAAAGCGUGGGGAGCGAACAGG